GAAGAGAUUUGGGAGUGCUCGCAAGAGAACCGGAACACAGGUGCUGCAUGGCUGUCGUCAGCUCGUGUCGUGAGAUGUUGGGUUAAGUCCCGCAACGAGCGCAACCCUCGACCUUAGUUGCCAGCAUUCAGUUGGGCACUCUAAGGUGACUGCGGCUAAAAGUCGGAGGAAGGUGGGGAUGACGUCAAAUCAUCAUGCCCCUUAUGACCUGGGCUACACACGUGCUACAAUGGGCGGUACAAAGGGUCGCGAACCCGCGAGGGGGAGCCGAAUCCCAAAAAGCCGCUCUCAGUUCGGAUUGCAGGCUGCAACUCGCCUGCAUGAAGCCGGAAUCGCUAGUAAUCGCGGAUCAGCAUGUCACGGUGAAUACGUUCCCGGGUCUU
rnacentral:rRNA from 1 species